GCGCCUGUAGCUCAGUUGGAUAGAGCAAUUGCCUUCUAAGCAAUGGGCCGGCUGUUCGAAUCAGCCCAGGCGCACGA
rnacentral:tRNA from 1 species